CAAAGAAGUAGGUGUGCCCUAAGUGACUGUUCCAUUACGGCGAGGAAGAAAUGUUUGCCUUCCUAAGCAUUCAUCCAACUCGCUGCUGCCGAUUGUGUGGGGCCGGAGGAGAGUGCCUGCUCACGAUCGGAAAGCAGCUCCUCUCCGUGUCCUGUGCUGGUGACUUCAGAGAGUGCAUUGUCGUGUAUGGACACCACACCGACCACUCUGUAACCCUCACCCUUCGCCCAGGCCCCUCCCUGCCUGCUCUGGCUGUGCACAGCUACCCCAGAUCCUCGCCCUGCUGUUUGUGGCCCCCACACUUUGAUUUCCCCUCGUGUCUUCACUUUCCACACUUGUACAUCCCGAAAGUUUCCAAGUCCUAUGGAUUCUGCUUCUGUUAUUUCUAAUUCAAAGGUUCUGGGCUGUGCCUUCCAACUGGAUAAAGCUGACCCUGGAAUUGGCACCUGCAUGGAGGAGAAAGACUACACAGCAUGGCUAAAGACUUGGAGAUCUGACUUGAAUAUUUUAAAGGACGUAUCUUAAAGGGAUCAAGCCCAAAGAUGAUCUACCACAGAGCUACAUCUCUCGCCCUUUUUCUUUUUCUUUUUUUAUUUUGGGACAGGGUCUCACUAAAUUGGCCAGAUGGGACUUGAACUCAUGAUCAUCCUGUCUCAGUCUACCUCACUGCUGGGAUUACAGAUUUUUGGAUGGUUGUGUCCCCUCUAAACACAGCAGAAUGGUGUUCUUGCUGUUGUGCUGUUGGAAGGACGUGAACUUCCAGUUCCUGGGUCUGAGCUCUAUGUCUGAUUCUGCCACAUACCUGCAGCCCUGUGCCCUUAGCCUCCUUGAGGUAAAAAGCUUUGCUCCACCCAACGUCCCUGCCAUGAUGUUCUGCCUCAUCCCAGAACCAAAAGCAAUGGAGACAAGUGACUAUGGACUGGAGCCUCUGAAACUGUUUUUACUUGAAGACACCGAGAACUACAGCAUCAUUCAUUGUUGGCAUGUUACAGUAGAAAGACCACUGGGCUUGGGAGUAAGAAGAUGGAAAUCAAAGAGCCAGUUUUUUCACUUCAACAAAAUGGUGCUGAAGAAAUAGGAUAUUUCAGUGGUUCCUGAGCAUAACUUACAACAUCAGCAUGGUUGGAACUCUGUGCACACAUGCGUACACAUGGAUUACCCUCCUGAGCCUUUGGUUCAAAAGAUUGGAAAUUGAUUCCUAUUGUUUACAAGCAGCUGGUGUCAAUGACUACUGAUACAUCCAUUGAAUUCUAGUUUCUUCAUUUGUAAAACAGGAAUAGCAUUUCCUAUCCGUCAUAAACGAUUGUUGUGAAGAUUAAAUGCAACAAUAGACUUGUGGCACAGGCAUAAUGCUCAGAGGAAGCUCCCUUGUUUCUUCUUCCAGUGAGCCUUCCUUGUUGUAGCUCAGAGCUUCCCAAAGGGGAUUAGCUCCAUGGGAUGCUCUGCGGAAUGACUGUGUCUUGGGCAGUUGUAUUUGACACUUAGUCUUCCUUCCUGCUUGCUAAUGGACCAUUAGAACUUUAAGGACUCUAAAAUGAGCAGAAGAAAACGGACUGGUUAAAUCUGUUGCACUCAGUGUCCCCCAAAAAGUUAUUUUACUAUUAAACUUUUUAAAGUGGCAAUUAUUAAUUGAUGUUCAACAGAGCAUGCUUCAGGGAUCACUUCCCUCUACAAUCUCUAACUAAUGUUCUACCUUUCUAUAACCUCUCUCAGGGAAUUUACUGCUUGUUUUGAUCUGAUUAAGACCCAGGCUUUCUAAUCAUCCCGGACAAUAUCUGCUCUUUUUCUGAACUACUAAUUUCAGUGGACACUCAUAUUAGUGAUGAUUCUAUUUAACUUUAACUUCCUGAGAUUAUGAAGGUAGAACACAAAUUAUCUUGGAAGAAAUUAAACCAACAAUUUAGAAAUAAAAUUAAUAACUAAACAGUAAAAAUUCACAAGUACAAGGGUGUUAAAUAAAAAAAGAGAACAUUAUAUUUUGAGAGAGCAUAACUUACUCUUGCACCCAGUUUGAUGGGAUAAAUUUAAAAGUACAAGUUUGUCUGAGAGCUAAAUUAAUCCAAUAGUCAGAAAUACCUUGAUAAAAACUUAUAAAUGAACUAAAAAUAGUUAAAUGAGAUUGCUGCUGGAGGAUAACAACAUUGAAGUUGCCAAUCUAAGAGCUAUUGAGAAGCAGAAUAUAGUUACGUAGGUUUUUGGGGUGACAUAAUUUGCCUGGUCUGUAUUUUUAAAGGAAGGUGGACUAUUUUGUUUCUAUACAUCCUCCUGGAACUGAGAAUGUAUAUCUUUAGUUGAGGUGUGUCUAUAAAAUAAUGUCUUACUUAUUCAGGCCUAAGUGGAAGAGGGUACACCUGUAUGGAUGCAUGGCUUGAGGCGAAUGAGUGAACAAGAUAGUUGGAUUCAGGGUAUAAAGUUCAAAGCCAGGUCAGGAAGAGUUAGCAUUAAGACUUUGCUUCUUCAGAUAACUACUCAAUAUGUAUAUUUUUUGCAAGCAUCUUGCUUUUGCAGGUCUGCUAUGAAAAUCUCAGAAGAACAGCUUUGCUUGUGAGCUCUCCCACAUUUCUACUCUGGUCCUGGCCAGAAAGACUGUGAGAACACCCUUUCAUUUGGUAUUUGAGCCCUUCUGCCUCUAUUCCUGGCUUCAGACCAAAGGGAAUAAAUGCAACCGAACAUUUCAGAACCUCGAAAUAGUAAACCGAAAAUGGUUUGCUCUGCUUUUGGUUCUAAAAAUGAUUGACCUGAGAAUUUUUUUUCCAAACUAUCUGCUUGGUCCAUCUCUAGUGUGGAUUACUGGACUUUAGAAACCUGAGGAGGAGAGUAUUUCUUAGAAAAUACAUAAAGAAAAUAUGCAAACAAAAUUUUUAUAAUAAAGGUGCCCAGUUGCUACAACAGAGGUUAGAUUUUACGAGCAUGGUUUAUAUUCCUGAGUAUUUAAAGCAGAAGAGGCUUGGAUGAGAAAGUGGAAAACAUGGGCUUGUAUGGUGAGCCAGUUCAUCACUAGCUUAGUGACCAGGGCAGAUUCCCUAGGCUUUGUCUCCUCUGGGCAAAAUGAAUAGAAAUCAAAAGAAUUAUACUUAUUUUAAUUGAGUCAUUAUGAAGAACAAGGUAUUUCAGAAUACCUUAAAAAUUACAGUGCCAAAGACCAUGUGAAAGUCAGUAAAUCAUAGGGACUACAAGUUUGUAUGUUACCACCAAACACACCUGGUUUCAAAUCUCUGUUCCUCUGCAUUCCAGCUCUGUGACCUGCGUAUGUCACUAAAAACCUCUGAACACUGAUUUCAUCAUCUGUGAAAUGAGGAGAGUGAUGUUGGGAGAAGAAAGUCAAAUGAUGUAAAAUGGUAUUGAUGAUGCCUAUUGUACAUACUCAUAGUUCCAGGUGCCAAUCUAGAGAACCCUCUGAACUAUUUUCCACACAGUUACUUAGUCUUCUGAAUCCCAUUGAGUUGACACAAGAAUGAUGCCCAUGUGUUGGGUGGCUGCGUAGGGGGUCAGUUUACUUGCUUGGAUCCAAAAUAUGGAUUAGGCUCAAUGGGAAUAUCCAAAGGAGAAAGUAGAACACUCUGGCCGGGCUAUGCCAAGUAUAAAGCAAUGCUGAUUUGGGUCAAUUUUUAGCAUCCACUUUUCAAUAGCAAAGAGAGAAAGGUGAAAGGUAAAACUAUAUGCAGGGCCACUUUUUGUGGAAUUAGAACACCAGGACAGAUUUUCUUACAUUAGGGAUAGGAUACUUGUUUUGUGAAAAACAGGUAUUCACUAUAACUAAAUAUACAAUGUCACUGGUAGUUUACUUGAUAUUCCCUACACACAUUAAGGAUAGGAAUUUAGUAAAUAUUUGAUUUGAUUAAAUAUUAAAGUAUCAUAUAAGUCUUCCAAUGAAAACACUGUCUUUAAUCCACCCAGCAGGACUUACUGUUCUGCUACCCCUCUAAGGUGUUUGUUAAAUAGCAUUCUCUCUUCCUCCCUUCAUAGUUAAAGUUUUUGAGUGAAUAAUCCUAUUGGCAGCAUUUCUUCAUGGAUUUGGAAUCCCUACAUUUCUCUCCCUCUGGGUAUUGACACUUCUGGGCACUUGUGACUCCCCAAGGGCCACAUCCAAUGACAGUUUGUAAAUGAGAUUCUCUUUUGCCAUUUUGCAUCUUUUACCUUCUGCAGCACUUUUUUGUCCCCUCCCCCAAUUACAGUGAAUCCUUUUCUGUCGCCUUCAGGUGCUUCCUUGGGAUUCUGUCCUUUAUCGCCUUCUCUUUACCCCAUACCUUAAGCCAACCCUGCCAAUCUACUACUCUAGUUAUCUCCCCUACCCGAAACUCUGGGCCCCCAUAAUGUUCCUCCCAAGCUUGUUAUCUUCACCUGGAUGUCGUCAAGCUUGGUGUCCAAAGUCAAAGCUCAACAACUGUCUCUGUAAGCCGGCUCCCCUCUCCUGCCCCCUUCACUUCAGCCAUUUUGUUUGUAUAUGAAAAUAAACUUCUCCUGGUGGGAAAAAUUCAAACCCUCAGCACUAUCUUGGUCCCAAGGCUCUCGUUUGACCUCAAGUUCCAGGAAAUUCCCAUGUUUAGUUGUGAGCCUGUCAAUUUUAUCUAACUAUGUCUGCCACACUUACAGGGUGGACAGAUGAUGCUUCGAGGGUCUCUGGUUCUCUCUGGGAUGUGUACUCAUGCGUUCUGAAGACAGUUGCUAUAACUCCAGCCAUUUCUUCUGUAUUUUAGACAGGAAAAGGAGAUAGACCACAGAAUCAAAGGGCACUUGCCAAUGCCCAAGGGGCAUCCUUUAAGGGGAGUUUUCUUGAAGGAACUGUUUGAUAAUCUUUGCUUAUAUUGAGUUGACCAGAGCAGAGCUGCAUCAAUCCACCAGGGAGGCAAAGAAAUAUAGUCAAAACAUCUGACCACAGUGCUGCUCCAAUGAGAUAGAACACUAUGGGAAGGGAAGAAAAAGCAGCAUGAGAUUGAGUAGAUGACCAAGGGUCUUUACAAACCCGUUCUCUUUACUUUCCUAUGUUUUCUUAAAAGAAACAACCACUGAAUUUGGAAGGAUAAAAGAGACUACAGUUCUUUCUUUCCCACCCUCAUCAUCUUACUUCAUACUCUUCUUACCUUUUUGCUUAGAUUCUUGCAAAGUUACAUGUAAGUCCCUACUCCACUUUUACUAUUUCCUCGGGUCUCCACGCAUUUAUUAAAGAAGAGAGUGUUGCUGAUGGGCACUGUGCAACAUGCUCAGGAUGAAAGAAACAAUGUCCUUGUUCUUGAUUUGAUCUACACAUUAUAUACCUGUCACAAACAUCACACUGUACCCCAUAAAUAUGCACUAUUAUUAUGUGUCUAUUAAAAUCAAUCAAUCAUCAAUCAAUCCCAUGACCUUUGUUAUGGUACAUAUAGUCCUGUCGGGGAGACCAACAUGCCAGCAACUGGUCCCAGUACACCACAUCACAGGAUGAGAUGGACGUGGACGAAAUGAAUUGAGGAAGCAGAGAGAAAACCAUGGCUACUGGAGCCUGGGAAAGUCUGAGAAGACUCUAUAGAAAAGUGGAUAUUGUCAGCUGAGUUGUGUUUUAGUAAGCAUUUCACAGGCCAACUCAAAGAGAAAUAAUAAGUUUUCUGUGUUUGCAAACUAUUGCCCAUGAAAAACUGAGGGGUGACAUACUUGACCUCACUCCAAAUUUAAUUUUUAAAGAAAGGAAUCAUAAGUAAAAGUAAUUUAAAAUAUAACAUUACAGGGCACAGUAUUGAUAAAUGAGAGGAAAACUGGUUCUUAAAGAGUGUACCACUCACUGACCAUGCCCUGAAAUUAACUGAGAACUCAUUUGUCAAGAGUGUACCUACCCUGAGAAAAUCUUCCAAUUAACAUCAAAAGUGAUCAUUCUUAACCUCUCAUGCAUUAAGAAAUUCUUGUCUGCACCUGAUGUUCUGUUCAUAAUCAAUGGAGCUCUUUAUGUAUGUUAUUUCAAAUUUAUCACCCUGUAUAUUACUAAAAUGAACGAAUUAAUAAAUGAAUCUGCUGUAGGUCCAGAAGCCAGAUUUAUUUGUUGUCUCCUGGUUCUCAUAGGAUUUUCCUUUGGUCUGUAAGUCAUUUCACUCUGCAGUUUCUCACAGUUUCCGAUAUUUAUUGAUAGCUACUGACAGCAUGUGUUGGUACUUACAGACCAAUGGUGUCUAUGUAAGAAAAAUGCUUUUUGGGAGGAUUAGAUCUGUUCUGAAAAAUGUCAGCCAUGUCACUAUCAGACUAUGCUAAGAAGACAAUGCAAAAGUCCUAUCAGUUCUAACUGUAAUAUAUUGUCACAGAAACAUGCCUCAAGAUAAAUUAAGUAAUACUUGAUGCUGUCAUGGUAAUGGGAAGAUUGAUAAGUUUAUAAACUUUGGUUGAGAACAAAUUAGUGCAAUAUUCUUGGUGGCCACUAUCACGAUAUGAGAUUAAGAUAUGUUAGGCUAUAUCCCUAAAUUUGGACCCUUAAUUUCUACCUAUAAGAAUCUACCUAUGAAAAUGAUUAAAAUUUAGAAUAUGAUGUAGAAAAUGGAAGUCAGAGCAUUCAAUAAACUGCAAAAUAUCCAAGAGCUCGAAUAUUAUGUAGUCUAUCAAAAAUUCUGUCUUCAAAUAUUUUUGAUUACAUAAAAAAGUGCCUGUUACAUUCAGUGAUGGACAAGAAGGAAAGUAUUAAGGUCUCAUCCCUCUCUAUGUGGAUAAAUGUCAUUCAUGUUUAUGCAUGCAUAUCUUUCAUGUGAUUUGCACUGGACUGCUAAGAGUUUAAGUGAUUCCUGUUAUCUUCAGGGUUAUCUAAAUUUUAUAACUUUCUACAUCAAGAAGUGUGAGUUUCAUAAUCAGGAACAAAAAAGAAAAUCUUAAAAGGAAAGCUAAACAAAGAUCAUGCAAGAGAGUAGGAAGGGUUUGUUUUUGGCCCUUUUCAUAUGUAAUUGUCUACACUAAUAAUUCUCAGACUUGCAUACCAAGUGAAGUCAAUCUCACUAAGGGUCUCAAUCAAGACUCAGGCUUGAGUGUGUGCUCCAGGCUCUGAGCAUUCCCCCAUCACCCCUCUCCAUCCUGUCCUCCAAAUUUCCAUCCAUUUUUUUUUUUCAAGCCAGGAAUGUUCCCAUAUGUCUGUAAUCCCAGCACUUUAGGUGGCUGAGGCUGGAGGAUUGCAUGUUCAAGCCCAGCCUGGGCAAUUUAGUGAAUUGGAAAGACAUUGUUUCAAAAUGUAAUAAAUGAAUGAAUGAAUGAAUGAAUAAUAAAUAAAUGAAUGGGCUGAGGAUGUACCUCAGUGGAAAGGCCCUGUGUUUAAUGCCCAGGAUUGAAAAAAGGAAUUUACUUUUUUACCAAAGCACAGCUAUUGUCAUGUGACUCCCUCCUUGAAGCAUCAUUAUAACUUCCUGACUGCUCGGCGUGCUCAGCGUGGCUCCAGCUCCUGUCCACCGUCUGAUACCUUUUGUAUCGCCUCAUCUUCUGACACUCCAGCCCAGCAGGCGUCUGGUUCCCUUCACGACACGCCUCACUCUGCCCUCCCAGUCACUGUUUCCUCAUGUUUGUUCGUUCUGCUCACCCUUCAAAGCCCUGCUAAAAUUCCUAGAAUGUUCAUUGUGAAUGUUUUCCUCCAUCAUUUCCUCUGUGGACUGUAUUGGUCUCUUUUAUUGCAUUUACCAGGAUUUAACUUGUUUCAUGCUUACUUGUGUCUUUCUCUUCUUGUGUUGUUAGCCCCCCAAAUUAUACCAUCUGUUGUGAUUUUCAGUUGUUAGCAGGUAUUACAGUCAUCUAAGGGUUAAUUAAAACAGAAAUUUGGGGUCCCAUUCCAAGUAUUUCUAAUGCAAUAUACCUGUGGAGGGGCAUAGGAAAGUCCUUUUCCAAUAAGGCCACAGGCGCUGCUGCUACAGUUGGUGACAGAAAACACUUUGAGAACCAUUGCUUUCCAAGGAGGGUGAGAAUGAUGUAAAACAAAUGAGACUCUGCUUUGCUGUGGAAGAUAGAGCACGGAUAGUGAAAUCAUAGGAUUUCAUGCAACUUGGGUUAGAUUUCUGUUCUGUCACUUGAUGUUUGAACAAGUUACUUAACCUUUCUAAGAAACUUAACUUUCUUGCCAGGUAGUUUAGGAACAUUAUUAACUCUUAUAUAAGAAUUUUUUCUGAGGGUUAUAUAGGAUUGCAAAAUACCCAAUAAAUGGUGGCUACUACUAUGAAUCCAUUUAUUCUACAAAAUAACCGUGUAAGAUACGUUUUUGCUCCCAUUGGCCGUACUGUACCCCCAGACAGCUUCUUGGACUUUUAAUUAAAG
ensembl:lncRNA